UUUGGAGGGCAAGUCUGGUGCCAGCAGCCGCGGUAAUUCCAGCUCCAAUAGCGUAUAUUAAAGUUGUUGCGGUUAAAAAGCUCGUAGUUGAACCUUGGGCCUGGCUGGCCGGUCCGCCUCACCGCGUGCACUGGUCCGGCCGGGCCUUUCCCUCUGUGGAACCCCAUGCCCUUCACUGGGCGUGGCGGGAAAGGAAGACCUUAAAAA
rnacentral:rRNA from 1 species